rnacentral:rRNA from 1 species
GUGCCAGCCGCCGCGGUAAUACGUAGGACCCGAGCGUUGUCCGGAAUUACUGGGUGUAAAGGGCGUGUAGGUGGACCUCUCAGUCGGUGGUGAAAUCCUGCGGCUCAACCGCAGAACUGCCGCCGAUACUGGAGGUCUUGAGUACGGCAGAGGGAGAUGGAAUUCAUGGUGUAGCGGUGAAAUGUGUAGAUAUCAUGAAGAACACCGGUUGCGAAGGCGGUCUCCUGGUCCGUUACUGACACUGAGGCGCGAAAGCGUGGGGAGCAAACAGGAUUAGAUACCCUGGUAGUCCACGCCUUAAACGAUGGGUACUAGGUGCUGGGCCGCAAGGUUCAGUGCCAAAGCUAACGCAUUAAGUACCCCACCUGGGGAGUACGAUCGCAAGGUUGAA